rnacentral:misc_RNA from 1 species
CCUCCUUAAACGAUGCAUCAUCCCUCGCGGUAAGCGCUCACAAUGAAUUACCUGAUCAGAAUGCUGUUGAUACGCAGUGAUAAGCGUUUUCUUCACAUUAAAAAAAGAAAAAAAGGUCUUUCUUUUUCUUUUGAAGUGAAAAAAGCAUCCGCUUACCACUGCGCAUAGCAGUCGCUCUUUAACAAUGUAUAUCAUGCUGACAUGAACGUUUUAAACGUUCAUACGUAAUUGUUAAGUGAUACGUCUCAAGCGUAUCCGGCAAUCGUUAUCAUUGCGAGAGUCCAGACCCCCUUCGGGUUAUAGGGUCAAGCAAUGAAGCGCACACGGUGGAUGCCUUGGGCAAAGGGCGAAUUUCCAGCACACUUGGCGGCCGGUUACUUAAGGGAUCCCAAGCUCGGGUACCCAAGCUUUGGCGUAAAUCCAUGGGCCAUAACCUGUUUUCCUGGUA